rnacentral:rRNA from 1 species
CCUACGGGGGGCAGCAGUGGGGGAUAUUGGACAAUGGGGGGAACCCUGAUCCAGCGACGCCGCGUGAGUGAAGAAGUAUUUCGGUAUGUAAAGCUCUGUCAGCAGGGAAGAAAGCAAUGACGGUACCUGACCAAGAAGCCCCGGCUAACUACGUGCCAGCAGCCGCGGUAAUACGUAGGGGGCAAGCGUUAGCCGGAAUUACUGGGUGCAAAGGGGGCGUAGACGGUUAAGUAAGUCUGGGGUGAAAGGCCGGGGCCAAACCCCGGGACUGCUCGGGAAACUAUUGAACUUGAGUGCAGGAGAGGUAAGCGGAAUUCCUAGUGUAGCGGUGAAAUGCGUAGAUAUUAGGAGGAACACCAGUGGCGAAGGCGGCUUACUGGACUGUAACUGACGUUGAGGCUCGAAAGCGUGGGGAGCAAACAGGAUUAGAUACCCCAGUAGUC